UGACAAGGACAAAUAUUUUCUGUACUUUGGAUUGCUGACAUACUAUGUUAGUGGAAAGAAAGUACUUUGAGUAUGUCUACAUUGACAUUUAAGAUUAGGCCUGAAUACUCUCCCUCAGCUUGCUUAUGUGAAUGACCCAGCUUAGCUCCAUAGAAAGAAAGAUCUUCCAUACAUGGGAAUUCACAUUCAGAUGGAAUUUUUUUUUUUCACUUAAUUGUCUUUGCAAAUUCCUGAGAUAGAGAUAAAUGCUCCAAAUCACUGAAGAUACAUGUUUUUGUAUUAUGAAAUUAGAAAAAAGGAUUUCAUGGUGCCUUUUCUACACUGUAAUACCGUUAUAUGGCUUCCUGUGAUAUACUGUAGAUAACUCUCAUCUCUCAGCUGUUAAUUCUUUGCCUUCCCCACAGGAUGAAUAGUUUAUCUUCUGAGGUUUUUCACUUAUCUUUUUGUCUUCUUCAAAAACUUGGAGAUUAGCCACAACUGGAAACAGGCUGUAGAUUCAUGGCUUGAUGUUUUUACUGGUAUUAAAUCUCCUCACAUCUUGGCAUUAAAACAAUCACCACUUUGGAUGGAAGGAAGGAAUGCCUUCCUGAGAUCAGAUAGUUAACCGGGAGACCUAAAAGUUUGUUUCAUAAAAAAAUUGGAGUGGAAAAAAAGUCCAACUGUAAGACCCAACAAAAGGAACUUUGGCAUAACUUAAAUGGACAUUGUGUGAAAUGAAAGUAGAAGUUACGUUAAUUUACAAGGAAGUAUCCAUUGAGCACUGUAUACCACGUAAAGAUCAAUGUGAAUGUGGAAGUUAAAGACAAAGGAGCCAGUUUUGCUCAGUGAAACGAAUAAAGAACAAUAUGAUGCAGGACAUCUGAGAGCUUGGUCAGACAGUGUGUGACAUGACAUACCAUGCAAAACCUCAGUUCUUGCGUUCAUGCCUUGAUGGGACAGCAGCAACCACUGAAGUCAAUGCGGAAGGGUAAAUAAAGAUCUUCCACUUGCUAUUUCAAAACUUGAUAAAACUUAAGCUUACAAGCGCUUAUCUGUUCAAAACACUUUGUAAGGUUUCUUGGUAAGGGAAAUGUCUCAUCUUUUAUUUAUCACUGAGGAUAUGACAAAGAAAAAAUGAACUGUGUAAGCCAGUAGCACAAGCAGGAAGGGAAAUCAAAGUCUAGUAUAGUCCUUCAGUCAUAAAACAGUUGUUUAGGCAGUUGUUUACCUAAAUAUUUGUGUAUACAUGCGCAUACAAAAUACGUCUAAGUAACCAGGAUAUAUUUCAUUUUAUUUUCUUUUCAGUUCAAAUUAUGUAUUUUCUGUAUCUUUAAAUAAAGUGGAUAGGACUAUUUGUACUCCAAGAAAUAUUUCAAGUAACAAGUUGGCAUCAGUUAGGCAUUGGUAUAUAUCUAUUAUUAUGCUGAUAAGUCUUUGUGUCUAUAUGUAUGUAGAUUGCUCCAAAAGUAAUGACUCCUAUUAAUUUCCACAAAAACUACAACAGGUACAAAGAACACAAUAACACAAUUUGAUAGAGAAAAUGUUCAGCUACAAAACACUAUUUUUCAACAUAGUCAUCACCAUUACUUAUGUGCUUUCACCAGUGAUGAACAAGAGCUUGCAUGCUACUCUUAAAAAUCCACACCAGUGAAGUUUACCCACAAUCACUGUUUCCAUGGCUCAAAUGCACCAACCACCACCUAAGUGUGCUCACGUCCACUCUUUGACAUUGAUAAAUGUCAACAUUUGCCAUUUUUUCUGCAUAUAGGAAUUCAAUUCCACACCUUUGCUUCAUGCACACUUCCAUGUCAGAUGCCACUGUGUCAGACUGCCCCUCUGCUGCCAUCUGUCACAUGGCAACAAAAUGUAAUGGAAUAUUGGUGGGAAGAUUCAGCCUCUACUGCCAUACCACCAAUAUCUUCUUCUGAUAUCAUGGACCAGCACAACAAAAUAGAGAAGACCAUGUACAUGAGUAUCCAUCGUUCCCAAAAAUUUAAUUUUGUCUGUUCAUAUUUGAAGCUCUCUGAAACAAUGUUUUCACAUUAGGAUAUCCAUAACGUCACAAUAAUUUAGCAUGAUAUUAAUAGAAUUGAAGAUUUAUAUGCAUGCAUGUAUGUAAGUAUAUGUAUAUAUAUGUGUGUUUUAUAUAUAUAUAAAACAACUUUUAUUUUACCAUUACCAUUCAAAGUUGUGGACCUACAUGCAGUUAUUCUUUUCCUCAUUACUGUUGCACCCAAAAAAAUAACCUUAAAAACAUAUCAGUAAAACAAAGAACUCAUAAAAGGAAUGAAGAUAAAAGACAUCCAGAAUCAAACUCUAUUAUUAUAUGCAGUAGGUAUACUUCUGUUGAUAAAAGGCUUUGAAGAAUCUGUGACUUUAUCGAAUUUCAUGAAAAGAUUCAGGUGUCUUACAUGAUAAUACAUUAGUCAACCAUAAUAAAAAAUGUUUUCUUUAUAAAUUUUCUUUUUGUUAUUUGUCUUAGCUGAGAACGGGAAUGUCUGCUAAAAAUGCAUUUUCAUUAAAAUAAAAUUAAACCUAGUU
ensembl:lncRNA